UAAUAGUUUUAUUUUGGCUAUUAAAUUUACUUUUAGUUUAUUUUACAUGUAAGAUUUUACGAGAUUUUAAUGAUUUUUCUUUAAGGGGGGUUAUUUUUAAAAUAUUCACAGUAUUUAAUUUUAAAUAUUAAAGAAAUUUAGAUUUAGUAAUAUUAUAUAGUAUUGGCAAAAAUCGUGCCAGCUGCCGCGGUUAUACGAAGAAUACAAGUAAAUGUAGUUAAUUAAAUAGUUAAUUUAUAAUAUAUUAAUAAAUAGAAUGAAUUAUUAAUUUUAUUAAGUGAAAUUUUAAAAUUAGGUUAAGUUUUAGUUAAUUAAUGAAGCUAUGAAAUUUAAAUAAUAAACUAGGAUUAGAUACCCUAUUAUUUUAAAUGUAAAUUAUUAAUAAUUAGAGUAGUAAUAGUUAUGUCCUUGAAACUCAAAAAAUUUGGCGGUGUUUUAGUCUAUUCAGAGGAACCUGUUUCGUAAUUGAUAGUCCACGUUAAACCUUACUUAAUUUUGUAAUCAAUUUGUAUACCGUCGUCAUCAGAAUAUUCUAUAAGGAGUUAAAUUUUCUAAAAUUAAUAAUAUAAAUUAUGUCAGAUCAAGGUGCAGUUUAUGAUUAAGUGAUAAUGGGUUACAAUAAAAUUAUUUAUAUGGACAAUAAAUUGAAAUAUUUGUAUGAAAGUGGAUUUGAUAGUAAAUUAAUCUUAUAUAAAUUAAUUGAUUUUAGCUCUAAAACAUGCACACAUCGCCCGUCGCUCUCGUUAUUUAAAAUGAGAUAAGUCGUAACAUAGUAGGCGUACCGGAAGGUGUGCCUAGAAAGU
rnacentral:ncRNA from 1 species